UAAGGAAAUACUUGAGGCUGCAACAUGAUGAUGAAUCUCCUUGCAGCCAUAUGGACCCUGACGCCUUUGAUUCUGUCGGGCACUCUUGCUGCUGACUGGACAGUGCGUGUUCCUAUGGAUCCAGUCUAUGCUACUUCUGGUUCUUCUGUAGUUUUGGAGUGCACCUAUGACUACCCUGAAGAGUCUGACCAGGGAAUAGUGCGCAAAGUGCUGUCAGAGAUGUGGUGUCUGAAUGAAAGCCGCUGCAUUACUCCCAGAUACGUGUACCACAGUGCAGGGAUAUUCCCUGAGCCCUCAUACCAGGGCCGAGUCAAGUACUUGGGGCAGACAGGAAGCAAAAACUGCUCUCUGAUGAUAUCUGAUCUGAGGUCAGAAGACAGCGGCGUGUACGUGUUCCGGUUCAUCACCGACCACCUGAAAGCCAAGCUACCAGGACAGAGAGGAGUGAAUCUACAGGUCACACAUCAGAUAGAAACAAGAAAUGCAUCUUCAUUCACUACUGGCAUUGUGCGUGGAGUUGUUAUCAUGGUUAUCAUAAUAGCAGGCGUUGUGGUACUCAUCAGAUUCAAGUCACGGUAAGCAAAGCAUUUACUCAGUAAAUGUCUUGUCUGGCAUCAUUUCUGAUCUUAGAAAUUAAUGGAAUAUGGCUUUGUUUUUCAGGGGAGAGAGGUCAAGAUCACUUUAAACCAGCUAUUACCACAGAGGAUGAAAAAAAAUACUUUUGACUAAACAAAACAGAGGUGUAAACCAAUAGUUCUGCUUUUUUCUGUUUGUGUGUCACUUUUAAAUUCAUUUUAUGCAUUUCUGCAUCCAUAACAGUCUGUAUUAUUUAUCUAUUCAUAUUAUUUUCUGCAAAUAAAACAGUAUGUUUUAUUCUCA
ensembl:lncRNA